rnacentral:rRNA from 1 species
UAAUACGUAGGUGGCAAGCGUUGUCCGGAUUUAUUGGGCGUAAAGGGAGCGCAGGUGGUGAUUUAAGUCUGAUGUGAAAGCCCACGGCUCAACCGUGGAAGGUCAUUGGAAACUGGAUCACUUGAGUGCAGAAGAGGAAAGUGGAAUUCCAUGUGUAGCGGUGAAAUGCGUAGAUAUAUGGAGGAACACCAGUGGCGAAGGCGACUUUCUGGUCUGUAACUGACACUGAGGCUCGAAAGCGUGGGGAGCAAACAGG